UACGUAGGGUGCGAGCGUUGUCCGGAAUUAUCGGGCGUAAAGAGCUUGUAGGCGGUUUGUCGCGUCUGCUGUGAAAAUCCGGGGCUCAACCCCGGACUUGCAGUGGGUACGGGCAGACUAGAGUGUGGUAGGGGAGACUGGAAUUCCUGGUGUAGCGGUGAAAUGCGCAGAUAUCAGGAGGAACACCGAUGGCGAAGGCAGGUCUCUGGGCCACUACUGACGCUGAGAAGCGAAAGCAUGGGGAGCGAACAGGAUUAGAUACCCG
rnacentral:rRNA from 1 species